AAGUCGUAACAAGGUUUCCGUAGGUGAACCUGCGGAAGGAUCAUUACAACGUAUCCACGUACCAAACUCUCGAACUGUUCCCAACGGAGCAAAUCACACACUUGUGUGAGAAGUUAAUGGCCGACUGUCUUUCGCUGAUGGAGUCCACUGACUUUUGUCUGAGGACUGAAAGGCUAUCGGUUGCUGGAGCUUCGGCUCUGGGACUUUGUUUGCUUCGUUGCGGUUUCUACCGUCAGCACUUGUUUUACCAUUAUUAACCCUUUGAAUUAUUGAACUGAACUUGAAAGCCUCGCAACCGUCCUUGUUGGCUUCGGUCACGGACAGUGUAGCUUGGUUUUUCUCAUUUACGAAACAAAGAACAACUCUUAGCAACGGAUAUCUUGGUUCUC
rnacentral:misc_RNA from 1 species